rnacentral:rRNA from 1 species
GAUGAACGCUGGCGGCGUGCCUAACACAUGCAAGUCGAGCGAGAAGCUUAUGACAGAAUCUUCGGAUGAUGGAUUAAGUGGACAGCGGCGGACGGGUGAGUAACGCGUGGGUAACCUGCCCUAUACAGGGGGAUAGCAGUUGGAAACGACUAUUAAUACCCCAUAUUCUAUGUUUAUCGCAUGAUAGAUAUAGGAAAGAUUUAUCGGUAUAGGAUGGACCCGCGUCUGAUUAGCUAGUUGGUAAGGUAACGGCUUACCAAGGCGACGAUCAGUAGCCGACCUGAGAGGGUGAUCGGCCACACUGGAACUGAGACACGGUCCAGACUCCUACGGGAGGCAGCAGUGGGGAAUAUUGCACAAUGGGGGAAACCCUGAUGCAGCAACGCCGCGUGAACGAUGAAGGUCUUCGGAUCGUAAAAUUCUUUUCUUGGGGAUGAAAUAAUGACAGUACUCAAGGAAUAAGCACCGGCUAACUACGUGCCAGCAGCCGCGGUAAUACGUAGGGUGCAAGCGUUAUCCGGAAUCACUGGGCGUAAAGGGUGCGUAGGCGGUAAAGCAAGUCAGAAGUGAAAGGCAAUAGCUCAACUAUUGUAAGCUUUUGAAACUGUUUUACUUGAAUUCAGGAGAGGUAAGUGGAAUUCCUAGUGUAGCGGUGAAAUGCGUAGAUAUUAGGAGGAACACCGGUGGCGAAGGCGACUUACUGGACUGAGAUUGACGCUGAUGCACGAAAGCGUGGGGAGCGAACAGG